rnacentral:rRNA from 1 species
GAUGAACGCUAGCGGCAGGCUUAAUACAUGCAAGUCGAGGGGUAGCAAGAUUGUAGCAAUACAAUUGUUGACGACCGGCAAACGGGUGCGGAACACGUACACAACCUUCCUACAAGUGGGGAAUAGCCCAGAGAGAUUUGGAUUAAUACCCCGUAACAUAGCGAUGUGGCAUCACAUUGCUAUUAUAGCUUCGGCGCUUGUUGAUGGGUGUGCGGCUGAUUAGAUAGUUGGCGGGGUAACGGCCGACCAAGUCUACGAUCAGUAGCUGAUGUGAGAGCAUGAUCAGUGACACGGGCACUGAGACACCAGCCCGACUCCUACGGGAGGCAGCAGUAAGGAAUAUUGGACAAUGGACGCCAGUCUGAUCCAGCCAUGCCGCGUGAAGGAUUAAGGUCCUCUGGAUUGUAACCUUCUUUUAGAAGGGACGAAAAGAGGUCUUUCUAGAUCGUCUGACGGUACCUUAUGAAUAAGCACCGGCUAACUCCGUGCCAGCCGCCGCAGUAACAC